GGUGCUACAUUAAGAAAUUAAUAGAGAGAAAAAGCAAUCAAAUAACUUUAUUUACCUGUCUGAGAAAUGAUUAACAAACAAAGACACUGACUGUAUACCUCCAUAUGUGAAGCUCAAUAAGAUGAAUAACUGAAGCUGGCGAGGCGAGAACAAAAUCUAUUAUACCUCGCUGCUUAACCAGGACAACCAUAUGGAAAGAUGCAUACAACUGCUUUAACAUUGACGCAACAGCAAAAGGAGACGUGUAAUUGAACUUCAACAGGACAACUUGAGAUGAUUAACUGGCAAGAGGCACAUAAAGCUGCUAAAUGAAGUGUUACUCGGCAAGGAAGUAUGAUUCACUGAUAUAACUUUUCUAACUCAUUCUUGUAUCGAGCCUUCAGAGGUUCCCGUUUCAAUUUCAGAGCAGCAGUUACCAAUCCAGACUCAGGAGUCCAAGACUCUGGUAUUAACUUGAUCUUGGCAGGAAGCUCAAACUUGUCCAAUCUAGCAGCUUUUGCUACCUUUGAAAGUGAUUGCUUGAUCUCAUUGACUGAUUCUACUUUGUCACACAGUUCGGAAAAAUCUUUGUGCUGGAUGCCAUUUUCUUGGGCCCAUUUCUCAAGCACCGGGCGUGAAGGGACAACUAAAGCUACACAAUAAUUAUGGAAGGGGUCUGCGUACACCAUGAUGCUCUCCACGUAAUUGCUUGAUAGAAGUGCUGCCUCAACCUUUCCAAGUGAGAUAUACUCCCCGUGCUGAAGCUUAACAAUAUCCUUCUUUCUAUCAAUAAUUUCAAUGCACCCAUCAGGAUGAAACCUUCCAAUGUCACCAGUGUAGAACCAGCGCAUGCCUGUCUCAUCAACCUUAUAAACCUCAUUAGUUUUUUCCUCAUUGUUGAAGUAACCAGCAGUUAUGCUGCAUCCACCAACAACUACUUCUCCCCGAGGCAUAGGCUUAUCAACUAUUCUGUAACCUCCUUCUUCCCAAGUAAUAAGCUUUAUGUAGCAACAAGGAAGAGGUGGACCAACACGCCCGACAGAAGGAUCAUCCCACUCAGAAAAAGCAGCUCCAGCAAAUGUCUCUG
rnacentral:misc_RNA from 1 species